CUGCCUGGCAGGACCAUCAGCAGCAGGUUAGAGAGCAAAUGUUCAUGCAGAUGAGGAGCUUCCUCAGGAAUCUGUGGUCUGUAGAUGCCCUCAAGGGUCAACAUGUGCUUUCUUUGCUAAGAUUUGGGGAUUUCUGACUUCCUGCCAGCUUGGUACGGCAACAAGGUGAUUCUGGCUAGAGUCUCAGUAGGGCUGCCACCUCUCAGCAUGGUGCCAGGAGAGGGAGCCCUGGAGUCAUCAGCUCUGGACAGGCCUGGAGGUGGCCUUUCAAGUCCUCUGACCUGCGCAUCCUGUGUGUUGCAAGUGAAGGAUCUGACACUAGCCUUCAUUUUCACUCAGUCAUCAAGCUUUCUCCAUCUCCACUGGGUAUAGGGUUUGGACACUCAGAAAGAAUUCUAGAAUCCAGUGAUAGAUCCCAGAACCAGAGACAUCUAGAGAAUCCUAGAAAGGAAUUCUAGCAUCCAGCAAUUAGGCUUUUGAAUCCAGGUUCAACAGUAAAACAAUGGGGAGUGGAAUGGAGGUAGGAUUGGAAUUUAAUAGAAUGCCCAGUCUAGAAAGGGCCCUGGUGCUUUAGAUCUGCUCCAGCCCAAGCCAGCCGAUGUGGGGACUGUGCCCUCUCACUGACCGUCUGAACCAUCAGGAGCUCCUCACUCUCACGUGGCCACUCACUCCAGGGCCUCAUCUGAUGUUCAGGAGAGUCAGUGUCAUUGCUAUGCCUACCGGAGUCUAGGGUGGGGAUACUGAGGCCAAGUGGCAUGGUCAUUUGGGUCCUGGUUCUGGAUCUUGGAUAAACUGCUAGACCUCUGGGAGCCUCGGUUUCUUCAUCUGAAUAAGGGGGUGGGGGUGGGGGGCAAGGUCAGAUGAUUUCCAAGGCCUCUUCCACUUGAGAGAGUGAGUUGCCUAAAUCCCAAGAGCUGCCAUUUGCCUUACUAGUUAGGACUACUGAAGACGAUGAUUAUCAUGUGAUGAGCACCUAAGCUGAACUGGACACUGUGCUGAGCACUUUCCAGCCACUAUCUCACUCAAAUGAGUUCAGGACCAGCGUGAGGAGGCUCCUGGCAGUUGCCCACAGGACCAGCGUGAGGAGGCUCCUGGCAGUUGGGCUGUUCCGGGCCGGCGGCAGGAGGGAGCUUGAUGCGUGCCUGGCGUGCGCAGGCCGAUGCCGCCGGCAGAAAAGA
rnacentral:lncRNA from 1 species